rnacentral:rRNA from 1 species
UACGGGGGGGGCAAGCGUUGUUCGGAAUUACUGGGCGUAAAGGGCUCGUAGGUGGCCAACUAAGUCAGACGUGAAAUCCCUCAGCUUAACUGGGGAACUGCGUCUGAUACUGGAUGGCUUGAGAUUGGGAGAGGGAUGCGGAAUUCCAGGUGUAGCGGUGAAAUGCGUAGAUAUCUGGAGGAACACCGGUGGCGAAGGCGGCAUCCUGGACCGGCAUUGACGCUGAGGCGCGAAAGCCAGGGGAGCAAACGGG